AUUAAUACGUUACAUUUUCUGGAUGGAAUAGCUGAAGUUUACCCAGAAAGAUCGGAAAGGAGCAUUUGAACCUGAAACACAGAAAAUACAUGGAGGGGGACAAGCAGAUGGGAAAUAAUGACCAUCACAGCUGCUUGCUGGAGCCCACAAGUCAGCCGAGGGGCCAAGAACUGACCCAACCUGCGAGACACCUGGUGAAAGGACUGUUAAUCCAGACCUCUGCAGAUCACACAGGCUAAGCUCCCAAAAAGGUAUGAAAACAAACGGUGAGCCUGCCUUGGCUCUACUACUGAGCACGUAAACUGCUCUAGAGAAAAACAGCACCGUUUUGUACAAGAAACUUGGCAAACCCAGAGCAUCAACAAUGUGCUGAGAGUCAGUUGACGUUUGACCUCCCCAAGACUCAGGCCCUGAGUUUCCAGCCCAUCUGAACCUUGACCAUGAGCACAUCUCACUAAGGCCUCUGAUAAUGAAAACCUUUUCUUUGCUAUGUCCCCCAGCUGUCACUUGAACUUACUGGUAAAAUUUCAGUGGACAAUAGUGAGACUGUCAAGUCAAACAGUAACUCUUUCAGUGAUUCCAGCGAGGUCUCUGAAUUUACUUGGAUGUCAGGAGUCCAGCGUUGGUGGACAGGACACAGAGGAGGGACAGCAAUGACUGGGGCAAGACGUGUCAUCAGAAGGAGGCUCUCCUUUCUAGGGAGAAAGGGACACCUAUGGGCGAGUGCCUCCCUGCUAAAGACAUAAAGUCACGGUUUAUAUCUGUAAGAUUCAAUUACUUCACUAACUUUAUUGAUCAUGCAUCCAAGAGUUUGAAGCCUAGAGCAGGGUCCUAAAGCCAUAAGAAAAGAGAAAUGCAUAAAUGUUGAAAAUAG